CCUACGGUGGGCUGCAGUGAGGAAUAUUGGUCAAUGGACGAGAGUCUGAACCAGCCAAGUAGCGUGAAGGAUGACUGCCCUAUGGGUUGUAAACUUCUUGUAUAUGGGAAUAAAACGUUCCACGUGUGGGAUUUUGUAUGUACCAUAUGAAUAAGGAUCGGCUAACACCGUGCCAGCAGCCGCGGUAAGACGGAGGAUCCGAGCUUUAUCCGGAUUUAUUGGGUUUAAAGGGAGCGUGGGUGGAUGGUUAAGUCAUUUGUGAAAGUUUGCGGCUCAACCGUAAAAUUGCAGUUGAAACUGGCAGUCUUGAGUACAGUAGAGGUGGGCGGAAUUCGUGGUGUAGCGGUGAAAUGCUUAGAUAUCACGAAGAACUCCGAUUGCGAAGGCAGUUCACUGGACUGCAACUGACACUGAGGCUCGAAAGUGUGGGUAUCAAACAGGAUUAGAUACCCCUGUAGUC
rnacentral:rRNA from 1 species